rnacentral:rRNA from 1 species
GGCGCGCAAAUUACCCAAUCCCGACACGGGGAGGUAGUGACAAUAAAUACUGAUACAGGGCUCUUUUGGGCCUUGUAAUUGGAAUGAGUACAAUUUAAAUCCCUUAACGAGGAACAAUUGGAGGGCAAGUCUGGUGCCAGCAGCCGCGGUAAUUCCAGCUCCAAUAGCGUAUAUUAAAGUUGUUGUGGUUAAAAAGCUCGUAGUUGAACCUUGGGCCUGGCUGGCCGGUCCGCCUCACCGCGUGUACUGGUCCGGCCGGGCCUUUCCCUCUGUGGAACCCCAUGCCCUUCACUGGGUGUGGCGGGGAAACAGGACUUUUACUUUGAAAAAAUUAGAGUGCUCCAGGCAGGCCUAUGCUCGAAUACAUUAGCAUGGAAUAAUAGAAUAGGACGUGUGGUUCUAUUUUGUUGGUUUCUAGGACCGCCGUAAUGAUUAAUAGGGACAGUCGGGGGCAUCAGUAUUCAAUUGUCAGAGGUGAAAUUCUUGGAUUUAUUGAAGACUAACUACUGCGAAAGCAUUUGCCAAGGAUGUUUUCAUUAAUCAGGAACGAAAGUUAGGGGAUCGAAGACGAUCAGAUACCGUCGUAGUCUUAACCAUAAACUAUGCCGACUAGGGAUCGGACGAUGUUAUUUUUUUGACUCGUUCGGCACCUUACGAGAAAUCAAAGUGCUU